CCCCGGGCCUUUGGCGUGCCGGGGGUGCCGCUCCGCUUGGCUAACGCCACCCGCUCGGCUGCCGGGGACGCCCUGAGAGGCGAGCGGCAGCCGGGAUUCCGGUCGUGGUCCAGGGAUGGGCUUUGCUCAGCGCGGCAUGUGGCUCUGAGCGGAUAGUAGCCGUUUCCUCCCCAGGCGGGCUUCGCACCUGUCCUCAUCUCCCGGGCACGGGAGGGUGCAGCCAGUGUUUACUACAAUUCUGUGAGAUGCAAAAGAUUCCGCGGGCGUCCGAACCCCUCCACUGAAUUUCUGCGACUCGCACAGCGUCAAAUUGGCAGGAAGGCGCGCCCAUUCCGUUAUCUUCCAAAUCAGCGCAAAUUGACUGGCAUAGACAUUCGUUGAGAAAACGCUUCCUUUCUGAGGAGGCAACCCUACGUGUGACCUCGAGGGGAUCGUGACUGCUUUGAAUUCAGCUUCCUCAGACAGCAGUCGGGCAAGUAAGGUUCCAGAAUGGGACACUCACUGAGACAUAAAUUUGAGGGACACGAAGAGACUCCUGUGUCCAAAAUCAACCUGAAGCUGUCGAUUUACCUGAAAUUGCCAAUUUAAGGUAAUGAAAUAGAUACCGAAAAGAAGAGCUGAGAGAGAAAGGUCUAGAGAAGAGAAAGUCAAACCCACAGGCUCACCUGCCCACACUUCAGAACUUUCUGAAUUCUCAGACUUUAUACCGAUGGCAGACCCCAGCUCCACUCAUCCAAAGCUUUCCAUUUUGGUCAGUUUGAAUCCCUAUGAGGCAACUGCUUUCAGAAGGCACUUUCAGCCUCCUGUGUUUGAAAUUCUGGGAGCAGUCUGUACUGUGGCAUGGAAAGACAUGGAACUCCUCCUCCUCCACUUCCUAUGAUUCUGAUGGGCUACAAUUCCAAGGGCCUCACUCAUCUGGCCAUAGCUGAAUGAGGUAGAGAGGAUUCCUUCUGCAGAAGUUGCUAGCUUAGGAUGUAACAUGGAGUCACACAUGAUAAUUUUCUGAAACCUCAUGGAGUCUGUCUUAUAUUAGGAGAAAACUAACAAAUGGGAGCAGGGUGGAGACAGAGAAAAUAAACGUUGCCAAUAUUG